CCAUCGAAUCUUUGAACGCAACUUGCGCCCGAGGCUUCGGCCAAAGGCAUGUCUGCCUCAGCGUCGGCUCACCCCCUCGCCUCCCCAUCUCCUUUGAUUGGGAAGGCGGAUCUGACCUUCCCGGUUCCGCCGGUCACUCGUGAUUGGCGCCGGGUCGGU
rnacentral:rRNA from 1 species